AAAUUGAAGAGUUUGAUCAUGGCUCAGAUUGAACGCUGGCGGCAGGCCUAACACAUGCAAGUCGAACGGUAACAGGAAGCAGCUUGCUGCUUCGCUGACGAGUGGCGGACGGGUGAGUAAUGUCUGGGAAACUGCCUGAUGGAGGGGGAUAACUACUGGAAACGGUGGCUAAUACCGCAUAACGUCGCAAGACCAAAGAGGGGGACCUUCGGGCCUCUUGCCAUCAGAUGUGCCCAGAUGGGAUUAGCUUGUUGGUGAGGUAAUGGCUCACCAAGGCGACGAUCCCUAGCUGGUCUGAGAGGAUGACCAGCCACACUGGAACUGAGACACGGUCCAGACUCCUACGGGAGGCAGCAGUGGGGAAUAUUGCACAAUGGGCGCAAGCCUGAUGCAGCCAUGCCGCGUGUAUGAAGAAGGCCUUCGGGUUGUAAAGUACUUUCAGCGGGGAGGAAGGUGUUGUGGUUAAUAACCGCAGCAAUUGACGUUACCCGCAGAAGAAGCACCGGCUAACUCCGUGCCAGCAGCCGCGGUAAUACGGAGGGUGCAAGCGUUAAUCGGAAUUACUGGGCGUAAAGCGCACGCAGGCGGUCUGUCAAGUCGGAUGUGAAAUCCCCGGGCUCAACCUGGGAACUGCAUUCGAAACUGGCAGGCUUGAGUCUUGUAGAGGGGGGUAGAAUUCCAGGUGUAGCGGUGAAAUGCGUAGAGAUCUGGAGGAAUACCGGUGGCGAAGGCGGCCCCCUGGACAAAGACUGACGCUCAGGUGCGAAAGCGUGGGGAGCAAACAGGAUUAGAUACCCUGGUAGUCCACGCCGUAAACGAUGUCUACUUGGAGGUUGUGCCCUUGAGGCGUGGCUUCCGGAGCUAACGCGUUAAGUAGACCGCCUGGGGAGUACGGCCGCAAGGUUAAAACUCAAAUGAAUUGACGGGGGCCCGCACAAGCGGUGGAGCAUGUGGUUUAAUUCGAUGCAACGCGAAGAACCUUACCUGGUCUUGACAUCCACGGAAGUUUUCAGAGAUGAGAAUGUGCCUUCGGGAACCGUGAGACAGGUGCUGCAUGGCUGUCGUCAGCUCGUGUUGUGAAAUGUUGGGUUAAGUCCCGCAACGAGCGCAACCCUUAUCCUUUGUUGCCAGCGGUUAGGCCGGGAACUCAAAGGAGACUGCCAGUGAUAAACUGGAGGAAGGUGGGGAUGACGUCAAGUCAUCAUGGCCCUUACGACCAGGGCUACACACGUGCUACAAUGGCGCAUACAAAGAGAAGCGACCUCGCGAGAGCAAGCGGACCUCAUAAAGUGCGUCGUAGUCCGGAUUGGAGUCUGCAACUCGACUCCAUGAAGUCGGAAUCGCUAGUAAUCGUGGAUCAGAAUGCCACGGUGAAUACGUUCCCGGGCCUUGUACACACCGCCCGUCACACCAUGGGAGUGGGUUGCAAAAGAAGUAGGUAGCUUAACCUUCGGGAGGGCGCUUACCACUUUGUGAUUCAUGACUGGGGUGAAGUCGUAACAAGGUAACCGUAGGGGAACCUGCGGUUGGAUCACCUCCUUACCUUAAAGAAGC
rnacentral:rRNA from 1 species